rnacentral:RNase_P_RNA from 1 species
GAAGCAAGCCAGACAGCCGCCGGCCAAGCACGCAAGUGCGAAGCGGGAGGAAGGUCCGGACUCCACAGGGCAGGGUGACGGUUAACGGCCGUCCGCUGAAAGUCGCAAGACAUAAGGCGAGGAACAGGGCCACAGAGACGAGUCUUCGGGACGGCGCGAGCCGUCACGAAGGGUGAAACGCGGUAACCUCCACCUGGAGCAAUUCCAAAUAGGCACGCGUUGAUGUUGCCCGCGGAGCGUGCGGGUAGGAAGCUCGAGCCUGCGAGUAAUCGCAGGCCUAGAUGAAUGGCUGUCAUAGCGCGCGUUUCGGCGUGCGCCGUAACAGAAUCCGGCCUAUCGGCUUGCUUCGCUU